GCCUGGGUGGCUUAAUGGUUGAGCGUCUGCCUUUUGCUCAGGGCAUGACCCCAGGAUCCUGGGAUCGAGUCCCACAUCAGGCU
rnacentral:tRNA from 1 species